rnacentral:rRNA from 1 species
UGACCUCAAAUCAGGUAGGAUUACCCGCUGAACUUAAGCAUAUCAAUAAGCGGAGGAAAAGAA